AGCAGGAUGCUUAGUGGUUAGAGCAUGAGCCUGGGAAUCAGAAGGGCCUGGGUUCUAAUCCCAGCUCUUCUU
rnacentral:tRNA from 1 species